rnacentral:rRNA from 1 species
UCGAGCGGUAGCACAGAGAGCUUGCUCUCGGGUGACGAGCGGCGGACGGGUGAGUAAUGUCUGGGAAACUGCCUGAUGGAGGGGGAUAACUACUGGAAACGGUAGCUAAUACCGCAUAAUGUCGCAAGACCAAAGUGGGGGACCUUCGGGCCUCAUGCCAUCAGAUGUGCCCAGAUGGGAUUAGCUAGUAGGUGGGGUAACGGCUCACCUAGGCGACGAUCCCUAGCUGGUCUGAGAGGAUGACCAGCCACACUGGAACUGAGACACGGUCCAGACUCCUACGGGAGGCAGCAGUGGGGAAUAUUGCACAAUGGGCGCAAGCCUGAUGCAGCCAUGCCGCGUGUGUGAAGAAGGCCUUCGGGUUGUAAAGCACUUUCAGCGGGGAGGAAGGCGUUAAGGUUAAUAACCUUGGCGAUUGACGUUACCCGCAGAAGAAGCACCGGCUAACUCCGUGCCAGCAGCCGCGGUAAUACGGAGGGUGCAAGCGUUAAUCGGAAUUACUGGGCGUAAAGCGCACGCAGGCGGUCUGUCAAGUCGGAUGUGAAAUCCCCGGGCUCAACCUGGGAACUGCAUUCGAAACUGGCAGGCUAGAGUCUUGUAGAGGGGGGUAGAAUUCCAGGUGUAGCGGUGAAAUGCGUAGAGAUCUGGAGGAAUACCGGUGGCGAAGGCGGCCCCCCUGGACAAAGACUGACGCUCAGGUGCGAAAGCGUGGGGAGCAAACAGGGAUUAGAUACGCCUGG